GAUGAAGAACGUAGUGAAAUGCGAUAAUUAAUGUGAAUUGCAGAAUUUAGUGAAUCAUCGAAUCUUUGAACGCACAUUGCGCCCCUUGGUAUUCCGGGGGGCAUGCCUGUUCGAGCGUCAUUUCAACCCUCAAGCUCUGCUUGGUCUUGGGCCGCGCCGGCAACGGCGGGCCUCGAAAACAGUGGCGGCGCCAUCUGGUCCCUCAGCGUAGUAAUUCUUCUCGCUGCUGGGCCCCGGUGGCCGCUUGCCAGCAACCCCAAACUUUCUAUGGUUGACCUCGGAUCAGGUAGGGAUACCCGCUGAACUUAAGCAUAUCAAUAAGCGGAGGA
rnacentral:misc_RNA from 1 species